GAGAUGAGGAGCUUGCUCUUCAAAUCGAGUGGCGAACGGGUGAGUAACGCGUGAGGAACCUGCCUCAAAGAGGGGGACAACAGUUGGAAACGACUGCUAAUACCGCAUAAGCCCACGGCUCGGCAUCGAGCAGAGGGAAAAGGAGCAAUCCGCUUUGAGAUGGCCUCGCGUCCGAUUAGCUAGUUGGUGAGGUAACGGCCCACCAAGGCGACGAUCGGUAGCCGGACUGAGAGGUUGAACGGCCACAUUGGGACUGAGACACGGCCCAGACUCCUACGGGAGGCAGCAGUGGGGAAUAUUGCACAAUGGGGGAAACCCUGAUGCAGCGACGCCGCGUGGAGGAAGAAGGUCUUCGGAUUGUAAACUCCUGUUGUUGAGGAAGAUAAUGACGGUACUCAACAAGGAAGUGACGGCUAACUACGUGCCAGCAGCCGCGGUAAAACGUAGGUCACAAGCGUUGUCCGGAAUUACUGGGUGUAAAGGGAGCGCAGGCGGGAGAACAAGUUGGAAGUGAAAUCCAUGGGCUCAACCCAUGAACUGCUUUCAAAACUGUUUUUCUUGAGUAGUGCAGAGGUAGGCGGAAUUCCCGGUGUAGCGGUGGAAUGCGUAGAUAUCGGGAGGAACACCAGUGGCGAAGGCGGCCUACUGGGCACCAACUGACGCUGAGGCUCGAAAGUGUGGGUAGUAAACAGGAUUAGAUACCCUGGUAGUCC
rnacentral:rRNA from 1 species